rnacentral:rRNA from 1 species
GACCUGUGAGGGUUGCUGGAGGUAUCAGAAGUGCGAAUGCUGACAUAAGUAACGAUAAAGCGGGUGAAAAGCCCGCUCGCCGGAAGACCAAGGGUUCCUGUCCAACGUUAAUCGGGGCAGGGUGAGUCGACCCCUAAGGCGAGGCCGAAAGGCGUAGUCGAUGGGAAACGGGUUAAUAUUCCCGUACUUGGUGUUACUGCGAAGGGGGGACGGAGAAGGCUAUGUUGGCCGGGCGACGGUUGUCCCGGUUUAAGCGUGUAGGUGUGUGUUCCAGGUAAAUCCGGUUCACUUUAACACUGAGGCGUGACGACGAGGCACUACGGUGCUGAAGCAACAAAUGCCCUGCUUCCAGGAAAAGCCUCUAAGCAUCAGGUAACAUCAAAUCGUACCCCAAACCGACACAGGUGGUCAGGUAGAGAAUACCAAGGCGCUUGAGAGAACUCGGGUGAAGGAACUAGGCAAAAUGGUGCCGUAACUUCGGGAGAAGGCACGCUGACACGUAGGUGAAGUGAUUUACUCAUGGAGCUGAAGUCAGUCGAAGAUACCAGCUGGCUGCAACUGUUUAUUAAAAACACAGCACUGUGCAAACACGAAAGUGGACGUAUACGGUGUGACGCCUGCCCGGUGCCGGAAGGUUAAUUGAUGGGGUCAGCGCAAGCGAAGCUCCUGAUCGAAGCCCCGGUAAACGGCGGCCGUAACUAUAACGGUCCUAAGGUAGCGAAAUUCCUUGUCGGGUAAGUUCCGACCUGCACGAAUGGCGUAAUGAUGGCCAGGCUGUCUCCACCCGAGACUCAGUGAAAUUGAACUCGCUGUGAAGAUGCAGUGUACCCGCGGCAAGACGGAAAGACCCCGUGAACCUUUACUAUAGCUUGACACUGAACAUUGAGCCUUGAUGUGUAGGAUAGGUGGGAGGCUUUGAAGUGUGGACGCCAGUCUGCAUGGAGCCGACCUUGAAAUACCACCCUUUAAUGUUUGAUGUUCUAACGUGGACCCGUAAUCCGGGUUGCGGACAGUGUCUGGUGGGUAGUUUGACUGGGGCGGUCUCCUCCUAAAGAGUAACGGAGGAGCACGAAGGUUGGCUAAUCCUGGUCGGACAUCAGGAGGUUAGUGCAAUGGCAUAAGCCAGCUUGACUGCGAGCGUGACGGCGCGAGCAGGUGCGAAAGCAGGUCAUAGUGAUCCGGUGGUUCUGAAUGGAAGGGCCAUCGCUCAACGGAUAAAAGGUACUCCGGGGAUAACAGGCUGAUACCGCCCAAGAGUUCAUAUCGACGGCGGUGUUUGGCACCUCGAUGUCGGCUCAUCACAUCCUGGGGCUGAAGUAGGUCCCAAGGGUAUGGCUGUUCGCCAUUUAAAGUGGUACGCGAGCUGGGUUUAGAACGUCGUGAGACAGUUCGGUCCCUAUCUGCCGUGGGCGCUGGAGAACUGAGGGGGGCUGCUCCUAGUACGAGAGGACCGGAGUGGACGCAUCACUGGUGUUCGGGUUGUCAUGCCAAUGGCACUGCCCGGUAGCUAAAUGCGGAAGAGAUAAGUGCUGAAAGCAUCUAAGCACGAAACUUGCCCCGAGAUGAGUUCUCCCUGAGACUUAGAGUCUCCUGAAGGAACGUUGAAGACGACGACGUUGAUAGGCCGGGUGUGUAAGCGCAGCGAUGCGUUGAGCUAACCGGUACUAAUGAACCGUGAGGCUUAACCUUACAACGCCGAAG